UACGUAGGCAGCGAGCGUUGUUCGGAAUGACUGGGCGUAAAGGGCGCGUAGGCGGAUGGUACAGUCAGAUGUGAAAUUCCCGGGCUUAACCUGGGGGCUGCAUUUGAUACGUGUUGUCUAGAGUGAGGAAGAGGGUCGUGGAAUUCCCAGUGUAGAGGUGAAAUUCGUAGAUAUUGGGAAGAACACCGGUGGCGAAGGCGGCGACCUGGUCCUUUACUGACGCUGAGGCGCGAAAGCGUGGGGAGCAAACAGG
rnacentral:rRNA from 1 species